UCGGUACAUUACCUGGCUUGAAUACCACCUAUGCUCUUAUUAGCAUGCUACAUAAAUGGAACUGUGACACUGAUGGUAAUAGUGCAACAGUGAGGAUUGUAUUGUUCGAUUUCAAAAAGGCCUUCGAUCUGAUCGAUCAUGAUAUUUUAAUUCAGAAACUAGUGUCGUACGAAAUUCCAAAUAAUGUUGUCAAUUAGAUAAUAGAUUUCUUGUUGAACCGCAAACAAAGAGUUAAACUCUGCAAAGAUUGUAUUUCGGAGUGGGGUUCUGUCCCAGCGGGUGUACCGCAAGGAACAAAAUUGGGCCCAUGGCUGUUUUUAGUCAUGAUCAACGAUUUAAAUGUCUCUAACGAUGUGAUGUGGAAAUAUGUGGACGACUCAAACAUCUCCGAAACUGUUAAAAAAGACGAAGUAAGUCAUAUCCAAUCAACCGUAGAUGAGUUCGUACGCAAGUCCAAAACCGAAAAGUUCGUGUUGAAUGAGCGCAAAUGUAAAGAAAUGAGAAUUAGUUUUUACGAAAUCAGAAAAAGUCUUUCUACCCGUUAUGAUAAAUAACGCCCCCCUUGAAGUUGUCCCAGAUGCCAAAAUUCUGGGCUUGAAUGUAUCCGACAACUUAAAAUGGAAUUAUCAUGUUAGCGAACUCGUUAAAAAUCUUCAAAAAGAUUGUACUUCCUAACUCAGUUAAAGCGCGCCAAAGUGGGAUGUUUGGAAUUGGUACAAUUUUUUAAAUCCUGCAUCAGAUCUUUAAUUGAAUAUGCUUGCCCAGUGUAUCACGAUGGUCUCCCUACGUAUCUUUCGAGUGAUCUCGAAACUAUUCAAAGACGAGCAAUGCGAAUCAUCUACCCAACAGAAUCUUACGAAGAUGCCUUAUUAUUAUCAGGUCUAACUUCCCUAUUCCUACGGCGCCAACAGAUUACAAACAAAGUCUUCCUAAAUAUUAUGAACGAUGAUGCACACAAAUUACACGAACUACUACCUGCUAAAACAAUAUCUCGCUUAAUUUACGGAAAAAGACGAAAUUCAUUAACCCAAGAGUAAAAACGAACCGUUAUAGAAAUAGUUUUAUCAUCAGUAAUUCAAUUAAGGCAUAAUUAACAAUAGUAUUAGGCAAUCUAAGUAUAAACACGAUCAGUUCAGGAACUGUUUUAAACAAUGAAUCAUUUUAGAAAUAGUUUUUUACCGUAACCUAAUGAAGGCAUAAUUAGCAUUCAGCUAUUGUAUUUUCUAAUUUGUACAUAUAUAACGCAUAGUGG